UACGUAGGGUGCGAGCGUUGUCCGGAAUUACUGGGCGUAAAGAGCUCGUAGGCGGUUUGUCGCGUCGUCUGUGAAAUUCUGCAACUCAAUUGCAGGCGUGCAGGCGAUACGGGCAGACUUGAGUACUACAGGGGAGACUGGAAUUCCUGGUGUAGCGGUGAAAUGCGCAGAUAUCAGGAGGAACACCGGUGGCGAAGGCGGGUCUCUGGGCAGUUCCUGACACUGAGGCACGAAGGCCAGGGGAGCAAACGGG
rnacentral:rRNA from 1 species